rnacentral:misc_RNA from 1 species
UACAGAGGGAGCAAGCGUUGUUCGGAUUUACUGGGCGUAAAGGGCGCGCAGGCGGGUGGAUAAGUCGGGUGUGAAAUCUGUGGGCUCAACCUGCAGUCUGCACCCGAAACUGUUUACCUUGAGUACAGGAGAGGAGAGUGGAAUCUCAGGUGUAGCGGUGAAAUGCGUAGAUAUCUGAGAGAACACCAGUGGCGAAGGCGGCUCUCUGGCCUGUAACUGACACUGAGGCGCGAAAGCGUGGGGAGCAACCAGG